AUUUUCUCUUUCGCCUUCACACCAAAACACAGGCUUCAAACGAGAUAAUUAUUUUGUAGGUAAGCUAAGUCUUUUCUUUGUCACAAAAGCAAGUGCGAGGAAGCUCACAACCCAUGGGAAAGGAAACCUAAGAAGCCUCGUUGUAGCAGUGAGGUUAUAUAAAAAUUGGAGGAUUUCAAUCUGAUGCAACAGAAGUUUAAUGUAUAUCCUCAAAAUUUGCAUUUAAAUAUUGAUACAAAGAAGGCUGCUUUGAAAGCUUCUCCAUAUGUUGUCAAUCUUGAAU